rnacentral:rRNA from 1 species
AUAAUUAAUCAAAGCCUACUAUAGCUUCUCACAUGGUUGCCCACAGAAGCUAAGCAGGGCUGUGCCUGGUCAGUACCUGGAUUGGAGACCACAUGGGAAUGCUAGGUUGUUGCUGGAA